GUCGGAGGAAGGUUGGAGCUUUGAUUUCAUGGAGGCUACGGCCGGGGUCGCCGCUGGUCGCGGCGGUUCAUUGCCGAUGCCGUCUUCUCAGUCUGCGAGGAAAGAAUGGCGAGCUGUUUCGGAAAAUUCGGUUCGUAACGCAGGGAGUGAGGACGUGGUGGUGGAGCGCUCGAAGUUGGCGCAGUCGGAGGAGAGAACUAUUUAUGAGGUGCAGCAGGGAGCGGGACCACUUGAUGUCGAUUUCUGUUCGAUAACGAUGGACGGAGGUCUCGAUCACGACAUACUACAGCAACGCCUUCAUAGUAUCUCCAGACAGAGAGAAGAGCUUCAACAGAUGGAGAUCGAGCUUAAAGCUCAAGUUAUAACUAGAUCGGAGCUAAUGGAGAUGCAGAACAACUUUGAUGCCCAGAUCAAAGAACAUGCUAAUGCUGCUGCCAAACUAAAGGAACAACUACAAGAAAGGGAGCAAACCAUACAUGAGUUGGAAGUGAAGAUGGAAGAGAAGGAAAGAGAGCUGCGUGCAAUUAAAAUUGACAAUGAAGCGGCCUGGGCUAAGGAGGGCCUUCUUAGAGAACAGAACAAAGAGUUGGCAACCAUUCGAAGAGAGCGUGAGAACUCUGAAGCUGAAAGAGCACAGAAUGUCAAACAAAUACAUGAGCUUCAAGAGCAUGUUCAAGAAAAAGAUCGGCAGCUUCUGGAAAUGGAGGAACAGAAUAGGGUUGCACAGGAAGCUAUACUUUAUAAAGAUGAACAAUUAAGGGAGGCCCAAGCUUGGAUUGCACGUGUUCAGGAAAUGGAUGCCUUGCAAUCAACAACAAAUCAUUCCUUACAAACUGAGCUGAGGGAACGCACUGAACAAUUUAACCAGAUUUGGCUUGAUUGUCAAAGACAGUUUGCAGAAAUUGAGCGGAUGCGUUUGCACACCAUACAGCAGCUUCAGUUAGAAUUGAACACGGCAAGAGAAAGGAGUGGAAUUUAUAAUGAUGAAUCAAGGAUGGCUCAUACAGCUGCAAAGGAUGCAUCUCCAUUUGGACAGAACAGAGGAAACCAACUCAAUGUAAAUGAAAGUGGAACAUUAAAUGGUAAUCCUGGAGCUCCACCAAAUGGAAAUGUAGACAAUGUCGCUCCCUUUGUUGCAACUGUGAAUCCAUCAACCAAGAAUGAUCAUGUCCCUGGAGUUCCAGUUGUCCCAUCUUCGCUACUCGGGAUGGGAACCUACCUUCCACCUGGACAGAUGACAGCACUGCAUCCUUUUAUCAUGCAUCAACAAGGUGUUCCACAGUCUGUACCAUCAACUGAAUCACACGUGCCUCAAUCUAAUGUGAACCAUUUUCCGCCAGUGUCUGCAAUUUCAUCCCAUCCACACUGGCAGAAUCAGCAGGCUGUAUCUGAGGGUUCAGAGAUGUCAAAUCAGAACCAAUAUCCAUCCCAAACAGAACAGAACCUUUUGAGGCCCGAUGCUCGUUACGAUUACGAACUUAGUGGAAAUGGUCAAGUUCUCCAUUCAGACUAUCUGGAUUCUCAUAUCAGCUCAAACCAGGAGACUGGUUCUGUAAUCACUUCAUCCAGUGAGGAAGCACAGGUUCAUGAAUCAAGUGCUACAGGCUACUUGAUGCAACAACGACAGAACUCGCAAGAAAGCUCUUCCCAGUUGCAUGAUGCAUCAACAUUGGAACCUCCUGAACAGAAGACUGAGACCAAGGAUGAAAACAUCACAGAAGCCAACCAUUCACAUGAUGGUCAGUGUACUACUGUAGAACAAUCAUGGUCAGCAGUUCAUACACCACCAUUAGAUACCCCAAGCCACCCAGUUAAUUCCAGUGAAACCACGGAGUUGCAUAUGGUUGCGCCUGAAGCUUCCAUUUCUGCUGGACGGGCCUCAAAAUUGCUGACACCAGGAAAGAUUGCUGAACCUACUCUUCUAGAUGAAAAAUCACUGUUGGCUUGCAUUGUUCGUGCAAUUCCUGCUGGAUCGGGUGGCAGAAUUAGAAUUAGUUCGACUCUACCAAAUAGACUUGGAAAGAUGCUAGCUCCUCUCCAUUGGCAUGAUUAUAAGAAAAAAUACGGAAAGCUUGAUGACUUUGUGGCUGGUCAUCCUGAACUAUUUGUAAUUGAAGGGGACUUCAUUCAGCUUCGUGAAGGAGCACAAGAAAUCAUUUCAGCUACUGCUGCUGUUGCCAAAGUUGCUGCAGCAGCUGCGGUUUCUGCUCCUUAUUCAUCACUGCUGCCCGCUGUCGCUGUUACUCCUAUGGCUCAGACUCAUCGUUUAAAGAAGGUUCCAUCCAUUGGCGCCAAGCCUGGGAAGGCUGUUUCUGUUGAAACAACUCCCGCAGAUAUGUCCAAUAAGCCUUCACAAUAUUCAGUCAUGCAGAAUCAGCAUUCAAAUGGUGUCUGUUUUAACAUUGUACAAGGUCUCUCGAAUGUAAAAAUUUUGAGCAAACCUAAAGAUGUCCUGGAAUUAAAUGGCUAUCAAUCUGAGAUUAGGACUGGCCAUGCUUCUGUGCAUUUAUCAGUUGGAAAUGGAGCAAAUCCUGACACAACUGUUUUAGCUAGCUUUCCAAACAAAGGAUCAAGUAAUGGGAGACAUGGCCCAAAUUUUGGAGGGAAGCAACAGGGAAGGUAGUAAAGAGUUUUCAUUGAGCCCUGGAUUGAAGCUUGGGCUUUAUAUUUUAAAGUUGUUAUAAACAUACUUAAUUGAUUGUUUGAUUCUUUGACAGGGCAACUGGUGCUGCCUUGACAUCUAGAAGAUAGAAACAAAUUAGAUGCCAUGAAGACACAUUAUUUAUAAUGAAACUGAGUCAUCCACUGCUUGCUUGGAUUGGUUAAGUGCGGAGUGUUUUGGGAUGACAAAAUUUGGAGGUUGAUAUCUUUAGGUUGGAGUUCUUGGCUCUACCAUAGAUUAUUCAUUUUGGGAUGGCCUGUUGGUUAAUUUUUAUCUUAUGUAAAGUCAUUUUAAUCUUCA